AAGUGAGAUGAUGGUAUACCAUCUUUCGGGACUGACCUGAAAUGGAGACACCUCUUAAUUUGCUGAUCACUU
rnacentral:snoRNA from 1 species